CUGUGGUUGAGACUCCUGCCAGGGGCUGCCUGUCACUGCCCUGUGUCCCCAUAUGAAGGCACUGACACCGCUGGAGGCUCUGAGCUACCACUUCUACUGCUCAUCUCUCGCCCCGCACGUUCGCGCUCCCAGUGCUCAAAAACCUUUGCCGAAAGGUUUCAGGUGUGAAAACACAGCAGUGCUGGUCACAGUGGAUCCUCGUGGACAUCAUCCACUUUGGAGACAGAGCAGAGGAGCUGCAUGUGCUUUGCAGAAGCCUCAGCACAAGCAGGCGGACGUCCUUGCUGGUGACUCACAUCCCCAUGGACACACGGGUAGCACUCGGAGUCCCAGCUUUAGCCCAAUUUUAGCCCUGGGGAGAGCCACAAUGACAGUGGCAGAUGCAUGGCUCCGGCCAGGGGGACCUGAAAUAUCCUCCUUUGCUCAGCCACGGUGCUGCCCCUGCCCAGUGCCUGCAUAGCCCAGCUCUGUCAGACCUGCUAUUCCAGUGGGUGGGGUUGGCUUUGUCUCAGGUUAUUUCAAGCUUGCUUUUGGCACAAGGAACAGUGCCUGGUCCCAGCUGGGGCUGAGCAUCCCACCAACCCCACUGGGCAUCUUCUUCAUUGCCCACAUUUCUUAGGCACCAACAAAGCCCUUUGAGACCUAUGAAACCAUUGGCUUUAAUUCUCUUCUUUUAAUUCAACACUGGGCGCGCCGCUGAUUGUUAUUAAUUUAUCAGUUCUUCCCUCCACCAUGGAUAUCUGUGCUGAGCCCUUCUGUCCCUGCAGCGACCAUUCGCACCGUGCUUAAAAUUGUUUCUAAACUUCCAGAUCCAUCUUCUGGCCAUCUUUACAGGCUUGAGCCCACAGUGGGCCCUCUCCUUUCAUCUUUUAUUACCGGCAUUUUUACCAGGAUGACAUUUUGACUGGUCUGGGAAAUCUUCUCACCCGCCGCACUGCUUCCUGACAAUCAAGAUUUAAUCUUUCUGGAGAGCAAUGAUAGAAAAUGCUGCAGAUCACUCCAAGAUUGCAGAAAUCCAGACCGUGGAUGCUGUUCUCACUGCAGCUCUGGCACGAGCUCCCAUCUCCCUGCUGCCUCUCUAAUCUCCAGUUUAAAUCUCCUGUGCUGCUGCCUUCAGUUUCUGAUGGCUGGGAGAGCUGCUGCAUGGCAAAGCCCAUCCACAUGGCCCUCCUUGUUCUAAGCUGGGCUCUUCCAGCCCCAAUGGCAGCCCUCUCCCAGAGCCUUUUUUCUCUGAUUCUUCCUCAUUUCUCAUCCAGACUCCAACCAGCAGGUGCAGCAUGUCUCCAUCAAGCACAAAUCUCUGGAAAUCCACUCAGGAUUUUCCCAAAGUGAAAAAAUGACCCGUUGGCCACGGUGCUGCGGAUCUUCAUUUCUGACUGUUGCACUCAGCUCAUUUCCAUGCAGCAUUUUUGGGAUGAAAGCAGAACACCUGGGAGCAGCCCAGCCCAGGAGGAAGGUGAUGUCCACAGGCACCUUCACAGCAAUGGAAACUGGAACCACGCAGGAUGCGAGGCUGCAGCCGUCCACGGAUUUUCCAUCUGCAGAAUAACUCCAGCGCACAGCCGGAUCACAAACCGCACUGCUUUAAUUACACCAGCACAAUUUUCACUCAUUUGGUUAAACCUGCAAGCUACAGAAAGAGCUAUUUCCAAGCGCACGGCAUGACUUAACGGCCACUCGCAAGCAGCUGGGGCUGUGCCGUGCCACCGCCGUACCCCGGCACGCAUCCCAUAACCGGGGUUUAACCUGAUUCCUGCUGUAAUCUCCGCGCCCGGCUGGAUCGCGCUGCAGCUCUCUGGUUUUGAAAUCAGCCCAGGAAAAAAGAGUGAGCGCCGAGCCAGGCUGUGCCCCGCUGCACCGCGGUGGGGACAAAGUCUGCUUCACGGCACUGCGGGGUCAGCCAGCAGACGGCACCUCCCUGCUGGCACCGAGAGCGGAACACUGCCUUCCUCCCCUCCGAUCGAUGUUCGCAGUGCUCCAAAGGCUUUUCCCUCAUUCUCUGAUGAGCUUUUUUCUUUUUCUUUUUUUUUUUUUCUUGUUUGGAAAGGAAAUGGGCAGGAGCAGCGUGCUGGGUUUUGGAACCACUGUGAUGCACAGUGGGCACCCAACUUGUGAGCAGCCCCGUUGCUGCAGCUUUGGGGUGGUUUUGUGCCCUGUUCCCACCUCUCCUCUGCUCAGUGAGCUCUUAAUUAGAGGGGAAUCUCGAGGCAAAGCGCAUAAAACAGGUGGGGGAUGAGCAGUGGAUUUCCCACCUCCUGGUGCUAAUGGAGACCAUCCUUCCCCACUUAACCAGAGCAGCCGUUAAUGUGCUCUGACAUUUUCUUAGCUGAAAAGUGUUUCUCAGCAAUGCCACCUUCAUGGGCAACACCAGCUGUUUUUACUUCCCCUCAAGGGGUCCAUCACCAGUGCUCUACUCCCCAGAUCCCCAUUUCUCAACUUCUCAUUGUCUCCUCUGCUGCUCCCAAGGGAUGUGCCACUCACAGGGCUCAGACCCUAUGGGAGAAUCUGGGCUCCCCAUGGGUUCCUCUUGGAUUCAUCUCCGUGCUGAGUUUCUGAUGCCUUCCCAUGGGAAACCCAACUCCACGUUUCCCACUCAUCAUCACAGGGUUUGCACACCAAGGUCAAGUUCACCAUGACCCAGUGGGUCAGCUGGAUGCUGGAUACAGGGAAGAGGAGAUUCUGCUGCCUGUCCUGUAACAAACCUGUUUGCUGACACGUCAUGAGCUUCUGAUAUCCCCUAAGUAGGGUCUGGGGGUGCAGGGGGGUGUCCAGGGUUACAGGGCUGGGCUGGGUGGUGCACGUGGGAUGCUACAGUGGGCUGUGGAGGGGAUGCAGGGAUGUGUAGUGGGGUAUCUGGGUGAUGUGGGGAGGGUGAGGGAUGAUUACCUGGGGUGAUGACAGAGGGAUGCAGGGGGAUAACGAUGCCCAGUGGGAUGUAGGGGGAAUACAGAGGAGAUGCCUAGUGGGAUGCAGGGAAAUACAGAUGGGAGUGCCAGGGGUUAUUGAAGAGGUGCAGGGAGGGCUGCCUGAAGACAUGCAGGGGAUAUGGACAGGGGUGUGGGCUGCUUAGGAGACGGUGCUGGGAGUGUGCUGGAGGCACUUAGGGGG